UUGUUAAAAGCUCCUACGACAUCUAAAAAAACAGAUAGAACAUAUUCAUCGUUAUUCAAAGCAGUACUAAGGUCGACAUAGAAGUUCGCUAAACUUUCGCGCGCUGAAUAUCCACGGCGAAAACCAAAUUGAUUCGAUGGUAAUAUACUAUUACUUUCAAUAAAGAACUCUAAACGCUGUUUAAUUAAUUGUUCGAAUAAUUUGCCUGCACAGGACGUCAAUGUUAUAGGUCUAUAGGAGUCGAAAUUUGUAGGAUCUUUACCGGGUUUAAUUACUGGAAUCAAACAAUCCAUUUUCCAUUCUGGUGGGAUAAUACAGUCCUUCCAUAAAUCGUUAAAAAUUUGUAAGAGUUUAGUAAGGUUUAUUUUAUUCAGCAAUCGAAACAUAUUGUAUGUUAAGCGAUCAAGGCCACUAGCUGUAUCUUUUCUAGAUUUUACUGCACUGGAUAUUUCAUCAAUUGAGAAUGGGUCAGUGAGAAAUUUUGGGCAUGAAUUAACAGAAUUAAACUGUUUGUCAUCAAAAGGUGAGUGUACAAAAUCAGGAGUAUAUUUGCGUAAAAAAUCAUUGACCCAUGAUAUAUCUUUAAAAUGAUUUUGACGAUGUUUUGAAUUUAGUUUUCUCAUAUUUUGCCAAACAGUGGAAAUUGGUGUUAAUCUAUUAAAUUUGGAACAAAAUUCCUGCCACCCCUGUUGUCUUACUUGCUUAAUUACUAACUUUUUAACAGCUUGAACUCUUUUAAAAUUUAUGUAAUUAUCGAGAGUUGGAUUUUGUUUAAACCUAAGGUAAGCCGCUUUACUAUCAUUGACAGCUGUCGCACACCUGUUAUUCCACCAAGGUACUGCAAUAUGUUUGUGCCUCUUUGAAGUAUUUGCACCGCUAUUUGAUAAGUUCCUACGUGGAACGGAACGUUCCACAGCUGUCAAAAUAAUUUUACAGAACCUAUUGUAAUUGUUUAAGGGUUCAUUGACAUCAUACUCGAAAUCCAAAAGUAAUUGAUUAACAGUUUCAGAAUAAAGAUCCCAAUUAACGAGACGUAGGUUUAUACGAUUUAACAAAAGUUUAUUAACUUCAUCUAUAGGAGCAUGUUGUUCACCUGACGGAGUUGAUGAAGAGUUCUUUGUGUUUAUUUUAGUAAAAGUCGGCAGAUGCUGCAACGCUCAGAAUUCUUACAGAAUUUAGCUAAAUGUCCAUACCUCAAGCACCGGUAGCAUUGUUUAACUGGUGGUAUAUAUGGAGUGACAUUGUGGCGCCAACCUCCAAUAUCCAGAUAUUCAGGUAAUACAGAUGCAGCAAAAGUAAUUGUCACGGUUAGAGUUGGCUGUAACACAUAUCCAUGAGUCAAGGUAUUUUUUUCUUAAAAUUCUUUUAAUAGCAAUAAUUUUCUUAGAACUCGAUAUCAUAGUAUAUAUUUUUUUAUUAGAUGUAUUUGUAGGUACAUUUCUAAUAACGCCUGUAACUUCUGUUGAAGAAGCAGGAAUACUGGCCUUAAAAUGGUAGUCAUUUAAAAAAGUUUUAUUAUUUAAAAAAGCAUUGGCUAAGUCUGGCUUUUGAAAGUAUACUCCGAUUUUGAAUUUAUUUAUAGAUCUAAGAUAAGUUACCCCUUUAUUAAAUCGUUUUAAACAGGAGGAGAGUGAGAGCAAGUCUCUGGAUCCAAUGGUUUUCUGACUAUCUGAGGAUUCUACAAAGACAACAAAUUCUGUCCCAGGGGAUUCCUCGGGAUAUCUUCUAAUAUAAUCUGUGACGUAGUAAGGUUUAUACUUAUCGGCCUUAUCAAUUUCAGAUUCUGAGUCAGUAGAAGUAUCUUCCGAAUAUAUAUCCUUGUCAUUACAAGGUUCAUGGUCUACAUCACCUGAAUCGUCAUCUUUUUUUUUUCCUUUUUCUACAACUGCGCUUCCCCAUGAAUGCUAAUUAUAUUACUGUCGCUGAAUUUAGUGAAAAUAUAAUAUUUUAUUCAAUAAUAAGAAUUGAUAGAGAUAGUUUUAAUAAAUUAAUAAAAAAAAUUUAAAAAA